GGAAAACUAAAUUGAUUAACAGUUGAAAUAGUAUCAACAAAUACAUUAUUCCAUUGCUUGAUUUAUUUGCUUCCAAAUAUAUAUAUAUCUACUAAGAUCAUCAACCGGCGCACAAGCAAAGGCUUUUUCAAAUAAAAGACCCUUCAUCACUCCUAGCAGUCAAUUUCUUAGAUAAAGUCUAAAGAAACACCAAAAUGGUGCGUGUAAAAACAUUAGAAAGAAAAGAUCUAUGGCCAGAGCAAAUACAUUAAUGGAGGUCACUGCAGAUGAACUUGACUAAACAAUUCUCAUUACCCAAUUUGUAAGCUGAGAUUUCAUUUUCAAACUCCGCUUUUUUUCUCUGGUUUUGACCCUUCUCUGAGAGCUGGUUUCCCUUGACGUGUCCUCUUCUUGGUAGUGGGUUUCCCUCCCCACCACCGGGUGGGUUGUAAAUAGUGAUUUUGUUGGUGUUUGGUUGCAGAUCUAUGCUUCAUUGAGAGGGAUGCGCAUUUUUUGAUCUGCUUUGGCUGUCUCCCAACUUUGCUAAUCCGGCCAUUCUUGAGUUGUGGGCUGGUUUGGUGAACAAAGAAUUCGUUUUGCGUUUGUUGGUGCCAGGUUUUCUCUGCUUUGCAAGUCUUGGUGCUGAGUUUGGAGAGGGUAUGGGUUUAGUUUGGUUGACGUCAUCUCUAGAGUCUUCUCCCUACCUUGGUAGUUGUCGACUCUCAACAACUAAAGAUGCCAAAGAGCUCUGUGUCGCCCCCCGUGUUUUAGAUCCUCGACACCCUUAUUGCCCCUUACGCUUUCAUGUGGUUCCCUAAGGCUCGAGGCUUGGUUCACAACUUCAUUUGGGAUCGAUUUGAGUUCCGGUUGUCUUGCAUGGACCUAAUGAUGUUUUCGGCUUUCAGCAACCACUGGAGAUGCCUUUGAGCGUGGCCACAGCGGUGUUCCCUCUGGCUGGUGGCUACCUUAGCAUCGGCCAUAGUUAAGGUUACCUUAAGUUUUGGGGCAUUCUAUGCAUUAGGUUCUUGGGCAUUUUUUUUCUCUGGGUUAUGAAUAUUGAUUUGUAAAUGGGUUUGGAUUUUCAUUAGUUGUAUGUUUGCAUAUUCAGACUUGUUCUACCUUAUGCACUUGGUCUAAUCCAUGUAAGCUCUAACUCUAAUGAAUACCUUUAUCUAAAAAAAAAAUCAUUUAAAAAAAUACUAACAUCUAAUAAUACUGAAUAA
rnacentral:misc_RNA from 1 species